rnacentral:rRNA from 1 species
UACGGGGGGGGUAAGCGUUGUUCGGAAUUACUGGGCGUAAAGGGCUCGUAGGCGGCCCACUAAGUCAGACGUGAAAUCCCUCAGCUUAACUGGGGAACUGCGUCUGAUACUGGAUGGCUUGGAUUCGGGAGAGGAAUGCGGAAUUCCAGGUGUAGCGGUGAAAUGCGUAGAUAUCUGGAGGAACACCGGUGGCGAAGGCGGCAUUCUGGACCGAUAUUGACGCUGAGGAGCGAAAGCCAGGGGAGCAAACGGG